rnacentral:rRNA from 1 species
CAGCCGCCACGGGAAUACGGAGGGUGCAAGCGUUAAUCGGAAUUACUGGGCGUAAAGCGCACGCAGGCGGUUUGUUAAGUCAGAUGUGAAAUCCCCGGGCUCAACCUGGGACCUGCAUUUGUGACUGUAUAGCUAGAGUACGGUAGAGGGGGAUGGAAUUCCGCGUGUAGCAGUGAAAUGCGUAGAUAUGCGGAGGAACACCGAUGGCGAAGGCAAUCCCUUGGACCUGUACUGACGCUCAUGCACGAAAGCGUGGGGAGCAAACAGGAUUAGAUACCCCGGUAGUCCCUGUCUCUUAUAC